UGCAGCCGGGGUGACACCGAGGCGCUCCCGACCCCUGACCUCUAACCCGGGUUUCUCCUCCGGCCGCCCCUCCUUACUGCGCUUAUCGCCCCCUCCCAGUCAAGCUGGUCACAUUGUUGCUGUUUCACUGCGGCUGACUGGAGGCCAGGGAAGAGAGUGGGGAGACGGUGUCGCAAAGAGGAGGCUGAGACUGCCCUCUCCUGCUCCAGACACGAUGUCGGGGCCUCGCGAACACCCCGCCGCCAUUCUGCACUUUCACCGAGGCUUCGCGAUGGAACACAGGACCGGACGGCCUUGCAGAGAAGCGGCUCCUCGUCUGCGUGGAAGGAAACCGGAGUCCUGGCUCUGUUCAACGAAAAUUGUCUGUGGGAGUAGGGAUGGAGGAGGUGACCCAGAAAGAUCACUCUGUUAAAGACCCUUGCUCAUCGCUGCCCUGGGGGGCACAUAGGAGGUGCCCGUGACCUGCCCUGUUACCCUUUCCUGGUUUUGCCGUUAUUUUUCUCAUUGCAAUUUGACUUUGCCUGUGUCUCAGUCUCCCUCUCUCACCCUGAGCCGGCACUGCGCUUUUUCAUCUUGAUGGCUCCCACAGUGCCGGCCUCUGAGAACCUGUUUGCUAAGUGAUUGAGAAACUGCCAUAUCCAAAAAAAAUUAGGCACCAACUGGACUUCUCUGGCUCUAUUCCAAGAGCUUCAGGCAGCUUCCAUGACAGUCUGGAUGAUGUAAGGAGAAUUUUAAGGCACACAUGCAAGGUGGUUAACACACCUGCCCUGGACACCUGUGCACCAUCACUUUCCAGAUCAGGCGGUACCUAGGUAUACUGGGGAAAACAAGAGAAGGGACUGCAUGUGCUGUGAGGAAAGGUUAAAAGCCCAGUGCAACUGAAAGGGAUUCAUAUGCCCCAGUUUCUUCUGGAUGUCAAGGAAGAGCAUCUGUCUGGGAGCCACGUCACACCAAGAUGUCAGCCGUAUGGCUUUCCCUCACGAGGAAUAAGGGCCGGCGCCGUGACCCAUAGAAUACGGUGGUAGUGAGACUGUGCCAUUUCAGCUUCCACCUCUGUCUCUUGGGACAAUCUUUCUGGACACUCUGAGCUGUCGUGUGAGAAGUCUGGCCAUCCAAAGAUCAACUGUGCUGGAGAGACCAGUUGUGGACACUCUUGAGUGACAGUCCAGCUGAGCCCAGCCUUCCAGCCAGCCCCACUCAGGGGCCAGACAUUUGAAUGACGUGAAUGAAACUCACCUGCCAGUCAACUGUUACUGAGUGACCUCAGUUGCCACUAGAAGAGACGUUCAGAGAAGCCCUGCCUGAAUUCCUCACCCACAGAACCCUGAAAUAUAAUAAAAUGGUUGUUCUAAGCUGCUAAAUUUGGUGGUAAUUUGAUAUGCAGCAAUAGAUGACUGGAGCAACACGUAUUAUCUCCUGCAAUCCAUUCAUUACUUCUGCUUCACAGACUAGGAAAUUUAAGCUCAGAGGGACUCCUAGGAAGCACAAGGUGGAGCUGGCAUUUGAACUUGGGAAGUCUGACCCCAGAGAUCCCUGGACCCAGCCCCUUGCUAUACUGCCCUCUCGUGGGUCUGCAUGCCCCUCCUGCAGGAGGGUUGGCACUCCAACCAGAAACACUACCUUCUACUAAUGGAGUGAAUGAAUUUAUAAGGAGCGAUGUCUCUAGCACUGGGACAUUAUUCUGACUGAGAU